rnacentral:sRNA from 1 species
UUGGAGGGCAAGUCUGGUGCCCGCAGCCGCGGUAAUUCCAGCUCCAAUAGCGUAUAUUAAAGUUGUUGCAGUUAAAAAGCUCGUAGUUGAAUUUCGGGACCAAUUUGUUGGUCGUGCCUCGGUACGUACUGGUAUUAUUGGUUUCUCCCUUCUGAAGAACCUUGAUGUCAUUAAUUUGGUGUCUUGGGGAAUCAGGACUGUUACUUUGAAAAAAUUAGAGUGUUUAAAGCAGGCAUACGCUUGAAUACAUUAGCAUGGAAUAAUGAAAUAGGACGUUUGAUUCUAUUUUGUUGGUUUCUAGGAUCGACGUAAUGAUUAAUAGGGAUAGUUGGG